rnacentral:rRNA from 1 species
AUACGGAGGGGGCUAGCGUUGUUCGGAAUUACUGGGCGUAAAGCGCACGUAGGCGGUACAUCAAGUUAGGCGUGAAAGCCCUGGGCUCAACCCAGGAACUGCGCUUAUUACUGAUGAACUAGAGAGCGGGAGAGGGUAGCGGAAUUCCCAGUGUAGAGGUGAAAUUCGUAGAUAUUGGGAAGAACACCAGUUGCGAAGGCGGCUACCUGGCCCGGUACUGACGCUGAGGUGCGAAAGCGUGGGGAGCAAACAGGAUUAGAAACCCCAGUAGUCC